rnacentral:rRNA from 1 species
UGCAAGUCGUGCGAGAAAGGGGCAACCCCGGUAGAGCGGCGCACGGGUGAGUAACACGUAGGUAAACUGCCCCCAGGUGGUGGAUAACCUUCCGAAAGGAGGGCUAAUACAGCAUAAGACCACGGCCUCGAAAGAGGAUGAGGUCAAAGCCGGCCAAUUUAUGAAAGCUGGCGCCAGGGGAUGUGCCUGCGGCCCAUCAGCUAGUUGGUAGGGUAAUGGCCUACCAAGGCGAAGACGGGUAGCUGGUCUGAGAGGAUGAUCAGCCACACUGGAACUGAGACACGGUCCAGACUCCUACGGGAGGCAGCAGUGGGGAAUCUUGCGCAAUGGGCGAAAGCCUGACGCAGCGACGCCGCGUGAGUGAUGAAGGCCUUCGGGUUGUAAAGCUCCGUGGAGCGGGACGAAUAAGUGUUGGCUAAUAUCCAACAUGGUGACGGUACCGCCUUAGCAAGCACCGGCUAACUCUGUGCCAGCAGCCGCGGUAAGACAGAGGGUGCAAACGUUGUUCGGAAUUACUGGGCGUAAAGCGCGUGUAGGCUGCUUUGCAAGUCGGAUGUGAAAGCCCUGGGCUCAACCUAGGAAGUGCAUUCGAAACUGCAGAGCUCGAGUCCUGGAGAGGAUAGCGGAAUUCUCGGUGUAGAGGUGAAAUUCGUAGAUAUCGAGAGGAACACCGGUGGCGAAGGCGGCUAUCUGGACAGUGACUGACGCUGAGACGCGAAAG